rnacentral:rRNA from 1 species
CGAGUUUGAUCAUGGCUCAGAACGAACGCUGGCGGCAGGCUUAACACAUGCAAGUCGAACGCUCGUAGCAAUACGGGAGUGGCGGACGGGUGAGUAACGCGUGGGAACGUGCCCUGAGGUACGGAAUAACUGAGGGAAACUUCAGCUAAUACCGUAUGAGCCCCGAGAGGGGGAAAGAUUUAUCGCCUUGGGAGCGGCCCGCGUCGGAUUAGCUAGUUGGUGGGGUAACGGCCUACCAAGGCUUCGAUCCGUAGCUGGUCUGAGAGGACGAUCAGCCACACUGGGACUGAGACACGGCCCAGACUCCUACGGGAGGCAGCAGUGGGGAAUCUUGCGCAAUGGGGGCAACCCUGACGCAGCCAUGCCGCGUGAACGAUGAAGGCCUUAGGGUUGUAAAGUUCUUUUACCCGUGACGAUGAUGACGGUAACGGGGGAAUAAGCUCCGGCUAACUUCGUG